rnacentral:rRNA from 1 species
GACGAACGCUGGCGGCGUGCCUAAUACAUGCAAGUCGACCUUAGUGGCUAACGGUUGAGUAACACGUGGGUAACCUGCCCAUCAGAAGGGGAUAACAAUUGGAAACAGGUGCUAAUACCGUAUACUGAUGGAUGGACCCGGGGUGCAUUAGCUAGUUGGUGAGGUAACGGCUCACCAAGGCCACGAUGCAUAGCCGCUCUGAGAGGGUGUCCGGCCACAUGGGGACUGAGACACGGCCCAAACUCCUACGGGAGGCAGCAGGAGGGAAUCUUCGGAAAUGGGCGAAAGGCUGACCGAGCAAUGCCGCGUGGGUGAAGAAGGUUUUCGGAUCGUAAAACUCUGUUGUUAGAGAAGCGGUAUCUAACCAGAAAGCCACGGCUAACUACGUGCCAGCAGCCGCGGUAAUUC